rnacentral:rRNA from 1 species
CGGGUGAGUAAUGCAUCGGAACGUGCCCAGGUAGUGGGGGAUAGCCCGGCGAAAGCCGGAUUAAUACCGCAUGAGACCUGAGGGUGAAAGCGGGGGAUCGCAAGACCUCGCGCUAUUGGAGCGGCCGAUGUCAGAUUAGCUAGUUGGUGGGGUAAAGGCCUACCAAGGCGACGAUCUGUAGCUGGUCUGAGAGGACGACCAGCCACACUGGGACUGAGACACGGCCCAGACUCCUACGGGAGGCAGCAGUGGGGAAUUUUGGACAAUGGGCGCAAGCCUGAUCCAGCCAUGCCGCGUGCGGGAAGAAGGCCUUCGGGUUGUAAACCGCUUUUGUCAGGGAAGAAAUCUUCUGGGCUAAUACCCUGGGAGGAUGACGGUACCUGAAGAAUAAGCACCGGCUAACUACGUGCCAGCAGCCGCGGUAAUACGUAGGGUGCAAGCGUUAAUCGGAAUUACUGGGCGUAAAGCGUGCGCAGGCGGUUAUAUAAGACAGAUGUGAAAUCCCCGGGCUCAACCUGGGAACUGCAUUUGUGACUGUAUAGCUAGAGUACGGUAGAGGGGGAUGGAAUUCCGCGUGUAGCAGUGAAAUGCGUAGAUAUGCGGAGGAACACCGAUGGCGAAGGCAGUCCCCUGGACCUGUACUGACGCUCAUGCACGAAAGCGUGGGGAGCAAACAGGAUUAGAUACCCUGGUAGUCCACGCCCUAAACGAUGUCAACUGGUUGUUGGGAGGGUUUCUUCUCAGUAACGUAGCUAACGCGUGAAGUUGACCGCCUGGGGAGUACGGCCGCAAGGUUGAAAACUCAAAGGAAUUGACGGGGACCCGCACAAGCGGUGGAUGAUGUGGUUUAAUUCGAUGCAACGCGAAAAACCUUACCUACCCUUGACAUGCUAGGAAUCCUGCAGAGAUGUGGGAGUGCUCGAAAGAGAACCUAGACACAGGUGCUGCAUGGCCGUCGUCAGCUCGUGUCGUGAGAUGUUGGGUUAAGUCCCGCAACGAGCGCAACCCUUGUCAUUAGUUGCUACGAAAGGGCACUCUAAUGAGACUGCCGGUGACAAACCGGAGGAAGGUGGGGAUGACGUCAGGUCCUCAUGGCCCUUAUGGGUAGGGCUACACACGUCAUACAAUGGCCGGUACAGAGGGCUGCCAACCCGCGAGGGGGAGCCAAUCCCAGAAAACCGGUCGUAGUCCGGAUCGCAGUCUGCAACUCGACUGCGUGAAGUCGGAAUCGCUAGUAAUCGCGGAUCAGCUUGCCGCGGUGAAUACGUUCCCGGGUCUUGUACACACCGCCCGUCACACCAUGGGAGCGGGUUCUGCCAGAAGUAGUUAGCCUAACCGCAAGGGGGGCGAUUACCAC